AACGAACGCUGGCGGCAUGCCUAACACAUGCCAGUCGAACGAGACCUUCGGGUCUAGUGGCGCACGGGUGCGUAACGCGUGGGAACCUUCCUUUAGGUUCGGAAUAACUCAGAGAAAUUUGAGCUAAUACCGGAUGAUGUCUUCGGACCAAAGAUUUAUCGCCUUUAGAUGGGCCCGCGUUGGAUUAGCUAGUUGGUGGGGUAAAGGCCUACCAAGGCGACGAUCCAUAGCUGGUCUGAGAGGAUGAUCAGCCACACUGGGACUGAGACACGGCCCAGACUCCUACGGGAGGCGGCAGUGGGGAAUAUUGGACAAUGGGCGAAAGCCUGAUCCAGCAAUGCCGCGUGAGUGAUGAAGGCCUUAGGGUUGUAAAGCUCUUUUACCCGAGAUGAUAAUGACAGUAUCGGGAGAAUAAGCUCCGGCUAACUCCGUG
rnacentral:rRNA from 1 species